rnacentral:rRNA from 1 species
GAGGAAGUAAAAGUCGUAACAAGGUCUCCGUAGGUGAACCUGCGGAGGGAUCAUUACAGAGACUCUGCCCUUUGGGUAGACCUCCCACCCUGUGUCGUUAUACCUUCGUUGCUUUGGCGGGCCGCGGGGCCCCGGCCCCGCCCCUGGCUCCGGCUAGGGCGCGCCCGCCAGAGGACCUCAAAACCCGAAUGUUAGUGUCGUCUGAGUACUAUAUAAUAGUUAAAACUUUCAACAACGGAUCUCUUGGUUCUGGCAUCGAUGAAGAACGCAGCGAAAUGCGAUAAGUAAUGUGAAUUGCAGAAUUCAGUGAAUCAUCGAAUCUUUGAACGCACAUUGCGCCCCUUGGUAUUCCGGGGGGCAUGCCUGUUCGAGCGUCAUUACAACCCUCAAGCUCAGCUUGGUCUUGGGCGUCACCGGUCCCCGGUGUGCCCUAAAAUCAGUGGCGGCGCCAUCUGGCUCUAAGCGUAGUACAUACUCUCGCUACAGACGCCCGGUGGAUGCUGGCCAGCAACCCCCAAUUUAUCAAGGUUGACCUCGGAUCAGGUAGGGAUACCCGCUGAACUUAAGCAUAUCAAUA